GUUGUGACUUCGAGGGGCGGGGAGGGGAGAAACCCAAAAAGUUGCUAUUCGGUGCGAAAACGGCACUUGCUGAGGUGCGAGCUCCUCCUCGGCGAGGUGUGAGCCAGGUUCUCCUCUGGCGUCGAGCGGGGGGCUUUAUAUUUGAGGAGGGGGGCCUCCUCUCGGCUCCUCCUCGGCGAGCGAGUCCGACGCGAAAAAAAAAAAAAAAACAAAACAAAACGGGACGCGCGCACCGAAUGCGCUCACUGCGCUCGAGUCCCUCUUAAAUCAGAGCGGAAACUUGUUCGUUUUUUGUUAUUGUUUGCUUUGGUCCGGUUUUGUUUUGGGUUUUUUUUUCUAACGUGUGUGGGCAGGGGGGGUUUGGCAUUCCUCUUCGGUUUUGGUGCUUGUGCCUGUGCGGUGGCGCAAGUCAAGACGCGCCCAAAAACUUCUCAGACCAGUUGUUGUGGUGCGCGUCAAAAGCACCAAAUCCCAGGUGGUGUCGACUGUUGGGUGGAAUCCUCGCCUCUCCCGAACCAUCACUCUCCAAGAACUCUACCCUAAGCAAUGGCCGUACAUCAUCAUUAAAUCGCACUUCAAAAUCUUUCCACAUACAGGACAUAGCCGCUACUUUCGGUAUUUCCUCGAUUGAAUUUCUAUCCUCCAAAGUUGCACCGAGCUUGGAAGCUGCACACUGAGGCCAUCGUAGAGUGAAGGAUUCAUACUGGCGGUUCGCUUAUUUUUACACUUCCGAGAUAAAAUGCUGAACAUACACGCGCGCGACACGAAUCACCUUCCUUCUGGAGCGACGAGCGACUGUCUCAAAUGUGGGAGUUCCUGUUGACAGGAUAACUCUUCGGUUGUGGCCGGAGUCGCUCGCAGCGGGUCAGAGGCUCGCUUGGUUGUCAGACUGAAAUCGGGAAUAUGACCACACCAGAUGAGUCUCCCAACUUUUUCAACUCAAAUUAAAAAGUGACUAAAACACAUCAUAAAUCGUGCAUGACACAAAUCCAAUUUGGGGAGGUAAAAAAAUAAAGAGGGGGGGGGCAGGGAAUUUCACGCAGACAGCGAACAGCUUUAUAGAGAGGCUUCUUAUAUCAAAUUGGUCGGCUCAUCCGCAAAUGUUUGUGUUCAAUCCUAUCUUGGCAACAGAAUUUAUCAGCUAAUACUAAAGGUCGCGACCCGGGGCACACGGCUAGCAUUGUUAGCUUAGCUGGCCGAGAUUGCCAGCCUCAUCGUACUAACAUAGCAUUCGCAUUUUGGAGCUCAGAAAGGCAUCAUGUGCAUUUGGCAUUUUAUGGAGAACGCAAGUAUCGGCGCGUCCGCUGAUUUUUGAGGGGUUCGAAGCCCACACGGUUUGGAAAAUUAGUCAUCCAUAAAGUCGUAGGCAGAGAGAAAAGUUGCCAUCGGGAGCGCGGAGCCAGCUGCAUUCGCUUUAGCUGGCAAUAAUAAUUCCUCGUGCGAAAAACGGAAUAUUGACGGUUCUGGCCAAACCGCUGCAAAGCGGGACUCAAUGAAGCAUACGAGUGCAUUUCUUACCUUGGAGCUGAGUCAGGUGCACCUGCCGAUUUUUGACAGAUAUCACAGACUGCCGGCAGCAGAGCUUUAUCCGGGAUCUGCUUUUAUUGGGGUUACUUUGAGGCUGUGAGAAUGAAACCAAAACAUGAAUCGACUGUUACCGACAUGAACGAGCAAACAAA